rnacentral:rRNA from 1 species
UAGGGAAUCUUCCGCAAUGGGCGAAAGCCUGACGGAGCAACGCCGCGUGAGUGAUGAAGGUCUUCGGAUCGUAAAACUCUGUUAUUAGGGAAGAACAAAUGUGUAAGUAACUAUGCACGUCUUGACGGUACCUAAUCAGAAAGCCACGGCUAACUACGUGCCAGCAGCCGCGGUAAUACGUAGGUGGCAAGCGUUAUCCGGAAUUAUUGGGCGUAAAGCGCGCGUAGGCGGUUUUUUAAGUCUGAUGUGAAAGCCCACGGCUCAACCGUGGAGGGUCAUUGGAAACUGGAAAACUUGAGUGCAGAAGAGGAAAGUGGAAUUCCAUGUGUAGCGGUGAAAUGCGCAGAGAUAUGGAGGAACACCAGUGGCGAAGGCGACUUUCUGGUAUGUAACUGACGCUGAUGUGCGAAAGCGUGGGGAUCAAACAGG